AAGCCUGAUGCAGCGACGCCGCGUGAGGGAUGACGGCCUUCGGGUUGUAAACCUCUUUCAGUAGGGAAGAAGCGAAAGUGACGGUACCUGCAGAAGAAGCACCGGCUAACUACGUGCCAGCAGCCGCGGUAAUACGUAGGGUGCGAGCGUUAUCCGGAAUUAUUGGGCGUAAAGAGCUCGUAGGCGGUUUGUCGCGUCUGUCGUGAAAGUCCGGGGCUUAACCCCGGAUCUGCGGUGGGUACGGGCAGACUAGAGUGCAGUAGGGGAGACUGGAAUUCCUGGUGUAGCGGUGGAAUGCGCAGAUAUCAGGAGGAACACCGAUGGCGAAGGCAGGUCUCUGGGCUGUAACUGACGCUGAGGAGCGAAAGCAUGGGGAGCGAACAGGAUUAGAUACCCUGGUAGUCCAUGCCGUAAACGUUGGGCACUAGGUGUGGGGACCAUUCCACGGUUUCCGCGCCGCAGCUAACGCAUUAAGUGCCCCGCCUGGGGAGUACGGCCGCAAGGCUAAAACUCAAAGGAAUUGACGGGGGCCCGCACAAGCGGCGGAGCAUGCGGAUUAAUUCGAUGCAACGCGAAGAACCUUACCAAGGCUUGACAUGUUCUCGAUCGCCGUAGAGAUACGGUUUCCCCUUUGGGGCGGGUUCACAGGUGGUGCAUGGUUGUCGUCAGCUCGUGUCGUGAGAUGUUGGGUUAAGUCCCGCAACGAGCGCAACCCUCGUUCCAUGUUGCCAGCACGUCGUGGUGGGGACUCAUGGGAGACUGCCGGGGUCAACUCGGAGGAAGGUGAGGACGACGUCAAAUCAUCAUGCCCCUUAUGUCUUGGGCUUCACGCAUGCUACAAUGGCCGGUACAAUGGGUUGCGAUACUGUGAGGUGGAGCUAAUCCCAAAAAGCCGGUCUCAGUUCGGAUUGGGGUCUGCAACUCGACCCCAUGAAGUCGGAGUCGCUAGUAAUCG
rnacentral:rRNA from 1 species